rnacentral:SRP_RNA from 14 species
CCGAAAGGCAGCAGCCGACGGAGGCUGCGCCGGGCGCGAGAG